UUUUGUUCCUGAUUUCCCAGCAUUUGCAGAUGAUAACAAGGCAUCAGAAACAAACCCCAGAAUACAUGGUUCAGAGAUGGAUGUCAAUAGCCCAUCAACAUCCAACUCUUGCAAUGAAUAAAGGAAAAUAAAAGUC